UGAUUGUCACAGUUCCCGUUACCU
rnacentral:piRNA from 1 species